GAAAUGCGAUAAGUAAUGUGAAUUGCAGAAUUCAGUGAAUCAUCGAAUCUUUGAACGCACCUUGCGCUCCUUGGUAUUCCGAGGAGCAUGCCUGUUCGAGUGUCAUGAAGUUAUCAACUCACUUCUUUGUUGAAGUGCAGCUUGGAUUUGGAGCUUGUUGGCAUUUAUGUCGACUGCUCUUAAAUGCAUUAGCCGUAAUUGCCGAUGGCUGCUUCAGUGUAGUAAACUGCUUCGCUGGCAAACAUCAGUAUAGACGUUGCUCACAAAGACCCUAUUAUUUUAAUCUUUUGACCUCGAAUCAGGUAGGACUACCCGCUGAACUUAA
rnacentral:misc_RNA from 1 species